GUACAGAUAAGGGAGGUAGAUGGAAAGAGUUCAACGUUCUUCUAUUUCAGAGGGAAAGGCAUUAGCAAACAGCAUAUUAGGAGCAAGGACUGAAAAACAAGGCAAAGCUCACAAGAGAAGAGGAAGAAAACUUUCAUGGCUAAAGGAGAAAGUGAAGUAAGGCAGUUCACCACCGGCUGCGUACUAAUCCUGCACAUCUGUUUAACUUCAGAGGUAUUCCUUACCCCUUCUGCAAUUUAAAAAUGCCAUAGCCAUAGGACAGUCAGAACCUGCUGGUAGGCAAUCAAACUCCCAAGAGAAGUAAAUGCACACACCACAGCUGCCUUUCUGCUGCAUGCUGUCCCAGCAAAGAAGUUAAGGACUGGAAGUCCAAGUGAAGAUGGGAUCCAACCAGAGAGCCAACAUGCGGA